rnacentral:rRNA from 1 species
GUGGGGAAUAUUGGACAAUGGGCGCAAGCCUGAUCCAGCCAUGCCGCGUGAGUGAUGAAGGCCUUAGGGUUGUAAAGCUCUUUCAGUGGGGACGAUAAUGACUGUACCGGAAGAAUAAGCCCCGGCUAACUUCGUGCCAGCAGCCGCGGUAAUACGAAGGGGGCUAGCGUUGUUCGGAAUCACUGGGCGUAAAGCGCACGUAGGCGGACCAUUAAGUCAGGGGUGAAAGCCUGGAGCUCAACUCCAGAACUGCCUUUGAUACUGAUGGUCUCGAGUAUGGAAGAGGUUGGUGGAACUGCGAGUGUAGAGGUGAAAUUCGUAGAUAUUCGCAAGAACACCGGUGGCGAAGGCGGCCAACUGGUCCAUUACUGACGCUGAGGUGCGAAAGCGUGGGGAGCAAACAGGAUUAGAUACCCGUGUAGUCC